AGUGAACGCUGGCGGUAGGCCUAACACAUGCAAGUCGAACGGCAGCACAGUAAGAGCUUGCUCUUACGGGUGGCGAGUGGCGGACGGGUGAGGAAUACAUCGGAAUCUACUUUUUCGUGGGGGAUAACGUAGGGAAACUUACGCUAAUACCGCAUACGACCUACGGGUGAAAGCAGGGGAUCUUCGGACCUUGCGCGAUUGAAUGAGCCGAUGUCGGAUUAGCUAGUUGGCGGGGUAAAGGCCCACCAAGGCGACGAUCCGUAGCUGGUCUGAGAGGAUGAUCAGCCACACUGGAGCGGGGACGCGGUCCAGACUCCUACGAGAGGCAGCAGUGGGGAAUAUUGGACAAUGGGCGCAAGCCUGAUCCAGCCAUACCGCGUGUGUGAAGAAGGCCUUCGGGUUGUAAAGCCCUUUUGUUGGGAAAGAAAAGCAGCAGGUUAAUACCCCGCUGUUCUGACGGUACCCAAAGAAUAAGCACCGGCUAACUUCGUG
rnacentral:rRNA from 1 species